CCUGGUUCUUUGGGCUAAAAAAUAUCGAAAGAUCUUUUAUCUAUUUAUCCGUUUUUAUUAUUUUAAUUUUUUUUAAAACAGCCGUUGUUGUCAUGGAAACGCGCAUCGUUGUAGCUUUAUCAUAACAUGACAUAUAUAUUGUUUACAAAGCAACACAAUCAGCUGAACUCAGCUCAGAAUCGUUUUUUCAUUAACAAUGGUUUAUCGUUUCUAACAGUUACACAUUGAAUUCCCGUCUAUAUCCCAUCUUCCAACGUGCAUUAACGUGUGAAUUUUGCCCGUCCUUUU